UUUGUUUAUAAUGUUGAAGUAGUUAAAGCGAAAUAGAUCAUUUUAUUCCCGGAACACUUAUGGUGUGAUACAAAAUCAGUAUCGUAAAUUUGUUUAUUUGAACUGUCUGCUGAUAAAUACUGUUCCUUUCUUUAACAAUGAACUGCAAACAAUUGUUUGGAAUCACUUUGAUUUGGGUCUUCAAGUUUGGGUCGUUUGCAGAAUGUCAACACUGCACCUUCAACAUUACCGAUCCUGAAUGGCAGAAUAUGUGGUAUCUUG